rnacentral:rRNA from 1 species
AUUGAACGCUGGCGGCAGGCUUAACACAUGCAAGUCGAGCGGGGUGAUGGUGCUUGCACUAUCACUUAGCGGCGGACGGGUGAGUAAUGCUUAGGAAUCUGCCUAUUAGUGGGGGACAACAUCUCGAAAGGGAUGCUAAUACCGCAUACGUCCUACGUGAGAAAGCAGAGGAGCUGCGGACCUUGCGCUAAUAGAUGAGCCUAAUUCGGAAUAGGUAGUUGGUGGGGUAAAGGCGUACCAAGGCGACGAUCUGUAGCGGGUCUGAGAGGAUGGUCCGCCACACUGGGACGGGGACACGGCCCAGACUCAUACGGGGGGCAGCAGUGGGGAAUAUUGGGGAAUGGGGGGACACCUGUGCCAGACAUGCCGCGUGUGUGAAGAAGGCCUUAUGGUUGUAAAGCACUUUAAGCGAGGAGGAGGCUCUUUUGGUUAAUACCCAAGAUGAGUGGACGUUACUUGCAGAAUGAGCACCGGCUAACUCUGUGCCAGCAGCCGCAGUAA